rnacentral:rRNA from 1 species
UACGUAGGGGGCAAGCGUUGUCCGGAAUCAUUGGGCGUAAAGCGCGUGUAGGCGGUCCGGUAAGUCCGCUGUGAAAGUCGGGGGCUCAACCCUCGGAUGCCGGUGGAUACUGUCGGGCUUGAGUACGGAAGAGGAGAGUGGAAUUCCUGGUGUAGCGGUGAAAUGCGCAGAUAUCAGGAAGAACACCCGUGGCGAAGGCGGCUCUCUGGUACGUGACUGACGCUGAGACGCGAAAGCGUGGGGAGCGAACAGG